rnacentral:rRNA from 1 species
GACGAACGCUGGCGGCGUGCUUAACACAUGCAAGUCGAACGGUAAGGCCCUUCGGGGUACACGAGUGGCGAACGGGUGAGUAACACGUGGGUGAUCUGCCCUGCACUUCGGGAUAAGCCUGGGAAACUGGGUCCAAUACCGGAUAGGACCACUGCCUGCAUGGGUGGUGGUGGAAAGCUUUUGCGGUGUGGGAUGGGCCCGCGGCCUAUCAGCUUGUUGGGGGGGUGAUGGCCUACCAAGGCGACGACGGGUAGCCGGCCUGAGAGGGGGACCGGACACACUGGGAAUGAGAGACGGCCCAGACUCCGACGGGGGGCAGCAGUGGGGCAUAUUGCACGAUGGGCGCAAGCCUGAUGCAGCGACGCCGCGUGAGGGAUGACGGCCUUCGGGUUGUAAACCUCUUUCAGCACCGACGAAGCGCAAGUGACGGUAGGUGCAGAAGAAGGACCGGCCAACUACGUGCCAGCCGCCGCAGUAA